ensembl:lncRNA
GUUCAGUAUUUAUAAUAUCAUGAUACCCUUCUGACCAGUCACUGUAUGAACCACCAUUCCUUCGAAAAACGACAAACCGAUAGACCCCGCUCAAUAUGCGGAAUCAGAUGUAGCUCCUCCCCCUAAUGCUAACGGUAAAUCUACGGCGGUUUGGAGGGAACCUUAAGCAGUCCUAUUCUGGCCUAUCACAGCACCAUUCGGAUCAAUGACAGUCAGCCUUCCAUUGCCGUUUACAUCCGUUGUUAAACAAUGGCAUAUUACGUCUACCGUGAAUUAAACAUUGACUGUGUAAAUGACAAAGGGCAAAAGGGGGUCGGGACCGGGUCUAAAGUACUGUAUAAACAGAACCGUUCAGACAACACAGUCAUAUUCACUAAUGCAUGUGUGGAUAUGUAUAGUGGAGUGUGUGUGUGUGUGUGUGUGUGCUCGUCGGGUAAUCCCACUGGAUGAUCUAAACUCUACUCUUCGACUGCUGAUUAAUUAACCAGCCUACCAUGGCACUACUGGAGUAACGAUAAUGAUGUCUGUUUAUCAAUCUAUAACCUGACAUUUCUAGGAGUGUUUGUGUGUGUGUUUGUGUGAGUGUGUUUGUGUGUGUGAGUGCGUGCGACUGCGUGUGUGUGUGUGUGAGUACAUGUGUGUGUAUGUGACUGUGGGUGUGUGCGUGUGUGUGUGUGAGUGCGUGUGUGUGUGUGACUGUGGGUGUGUGUGUGUGUUUGAGUGCGUGCCACAUAGUGUGUGGGAAUGUCACUGACGCAGUUUUGCUUCCGUAACUGUGGUUACAGCAUUGCCACCACAACUUUCACACACACACACACACACACCUCUCCCUCUUCUUCCAUCGCCACCCCCUCCACCCCCCCCCCCUCCUCCGCCCCUCAUCCAGUGAUGGUUGUGUCUGUAGCACACAGCCCAUGAGUUGAUGGGCACUGCUGGACCGGGAGGGCAGAUACAGCUGAAUUUGUCCCCCCAUUCUCCCUCUUUGCUUUUCCUCUCUUCGAUUCUCUCUCAAGCACUGUGUCUCUCUCUCCCGUUCUCUCUCUCUUUCUCUCUGUCUGUCUGCCCCUCUCUCUCCAGACAGCCAGACAGUCAGCCAAACAGGCCGCCUGGUGGGAGACGCUCCCCCUUAUCGGAGCACCCGGAACGGGCCGGAGCACGACGAGGCCUUCGGAAGGAAGGAGGGGAGGUGCUGAUGGAGGCGGUGGGGGUCUGUAAUGCAGACAGAGGGACACUGUGAAGGAAGGAAGGGAGGAGGAGAGGAACACAAGAUGGAGGGACAGACUCAGAGGGACGGAAAUACCAGAUCCAUCUAUGACAGGCUCUCCUGUGUGCACUCUUCACUCAUCCAUAGAACAUCAUCCUCAGAACAUCCAAAGAACAGCCAAAGAAUGUCCGUAGGAACCCUCCUAAAACCUUCUCUCUGGGGACACCUGGAGCAGUUCACCUGAAAUGUGGAACAACCAGGGGUCCCUGGGGAGAGGUUUGAGAACCACCGGCGUAGAAGACGAGUCGAAGACAGACGCAACAAAGACCAAGUCAAAGGGGUCAUUGUUGGGGUUUAAAGACUGACAGGGAGAACAAUGAAAUAAAGAUGGAUAGAGCAGCGCGAGAAAGGGCAAAAUAAAGACGGACAGAGCAGCGUGAGAAAGGUUGAAAUAAUGGUGGACAGAGCAGUGCGAGAAAGGGCAAAAUAAAGACGGACAGAGCAGCGCGAGAAAGGGCAAAAUAAAGACGGACAGAGCAGCGCGAGAAAGGUUGAAAUAAUGGUGGACAGAGCAAUGCGAGAAAGGGCAAAAUAAAGACGGACAGAGCAGCGCGAGAAAGCGUGAAAUAAAGAUAGAUAGAGCAGCGCGAGAAAGGGUGAAAUAAAGGUGGACAGAGCAGCGCGAGAAAGGAUGGAUAAAAAGAUGGAUUGAGCAGCAUGAUAUAGAAUUAAAUAAAGAUGGUUAGAGCAGCGUGAGAAUGGGUGGAUUAAAGACAGAGAGAGCAGCGUUAGAAGACUGCAGGCUGUUCGGUAGCUCUGUGUUGAUGGAUACAGGUAUAUAAAAAGGUAAAAAAGGCUUUUUAAACAUGACAAAGUGAAAAUGAAUAAUUAUGAAUCAAAUAAUUUCUCAUUUCAAUGUCUCAUUUUUCUCAAUACUCAGUCCACCAUUUUGAACAGUGGACAAUGUAACACUUUUAUUAAUCAGAAUGGAGUCAAUAUGCAUGUAUUCAAAUAUAUAUAUAUAUAUAUAUAUAUAACCCAUGAAAAGAUUAAUCAGCACCUCCCUCCACCUCCUAGCAAAUUACAGGUGUCUUUCAGCCUUCAAUCACCAUCUGUGUAUCUGUGUGUGUAUGUGUGUGUGUGUGUGUGUGUGUGUGUUACCUUCAUUAGGCCAUUCUGGCUAAGUGGCUUUUGAAACCGUUACAGGCUGGAGUGAAGGGAUGAUUGAUCAAUAGAAUAGAACACACCCACCCGCACACCCACCCGCACACACACACACACACAACCACCCCCCACCAACAACCACAUGCGUCAGCACACACAAUGAAAGUCGCGGAUGCAAAACAUCCUUUUGCUUAAAAGCAAUGACAAUACCGUUGUGCACAUACACUUAUCCUGAGUUCAAACACACACACACACACACACACUGUCUCCAUCGGAGAUGCCAAGCGCAUGUCUAUAAAGCCACAGGGAUUCACUGCCAUUUCAGUAGUCGCAGCCAGAGAGAGAGAAAGAGAGAGAGAGAGAGAGAAAGACACACAGAGAGAGAGAGUGAAAGACAGAGAGAGAGAGAGAGAGAGAGAGAGAGAGAGAGUGAAAGACUGAAAGGCACUGGGAAUGGAGAGAAAGAGGCAGAUAAAGACAGAACAAGAUAGAUAAAUAGAGAGAGCGAAGCUUAGAAGAAGCGACGAUCAAAACCACUUAAAGAAAAUCUAAUUCCAUGGGUUUUCUAAACGCCUGUCUCUUCCCUCCCUCCACCUCUUUUCCCCUCGCUAUCUCCCUCCAUCGCUUUCCCACUUUUCUCCGUAUUUCCUCUCAUAUCUCUGCCAUAACACACAUUCACUGUGCAUGCCUCACUAAGUGUAGCAUAAUGCCCUAGAGCGCUACAAAUCCUGUCUCCUUUCUUCCAGAACAUAUUUCAUAAUAUGGUAAUGUCUCUCUCCUGUGUAUGUUCCCUAUGCCUCUAACUUAGUUUUCCCCUCCGUCUCUAUAUGUCUUCCUGUUUAGUUUUCCCCUCCGUCUCUGUACGUCUUCCUGUUUAGUUUUCCCCUCUGUCUCUAUAUGUCUUCCUGUUUAGUUUUCCCCUCCGUCUCUAUAUGUCUUCCUGUUUAGUUUUCCCCUCCGUCUCUGUUUGUCUUCCUGUUUAGUUUUCCCUCCGUCUCUGUACGUCUUCCUGUUUAGUUUUCCCUCCGUCUCUAUAUGUCUUCCUGUUUAGUUUUCCCCUCCGUCUCUGUACGUCUUCCUGUUUAGUUUUCCCCUCCGUCUCUGUACGUCUUCCUGUUUAGUUUUCCCCUCCGUCUCUGUACGUCUUCCUGUUUAGUUUUCCCCCUCCGUCUCUAUAUGUCUUCCUGUUUUUUACAUUUGUCUCACUCUGCCUUUUUCACCCUCUCCAUGCUGUCUCCCUGCCUCCCCUCUCUCCCUCCUCUCCCUCGUUUCCACCCCUCUCCCUGCCUCUUCUCUCCCUACUUUCUCUCUCACCCUCAUUCCUCUCUCGCCCUGCCUCCUCUCCUCUGCCAGCUUUUCUCGCUCCCUCCCCCUCUUUUCUCUCUCCCUGCCACAUCUCUUCUCUCCCUGCCUCCUCUCCUCUCUCACUCCCUGCCUCCUCUCCUCUCCCACUCCCUGCCUCCUCUCCUCUCUCUCCCUGCCUCCUCUCCUCUCUCUCCCUGCCUCCUCUCCUCUCUCACUCCCUGCCUCCUCUCCUCUCCCACUCCCUGCCUCCUCUCCUCUCUCUCCCUGCCUCCUUUCCUCUCUCUCCCUGCCUCCUCUCCUCUCUCACUCCCUGCCUCCUCUCCUCUCUCUCCCUGCCUCCUCUCCUCUCUCUCCCUGCCUCCUCUCCUCUCUCACUCCCUGCCUCCUCCCCUCUUUCUCCCUGCCUCCUCUCUCUCCCAUCAGCCUACACAUUUCCUCCAGACUGGGUCAGAAUAGCUGGCUGCUCUGUUGCUCCUUCCUCUCACCACUACCUCUACAUCCAACUCUUGCUCCUCCUCAACCGUCAGCGCGCUCCUUCUUCUCCUCUAGUUCCAUGGUAUAAUUCAAACGUGGUGUCUCAGUAGAUAGACCCUCUCUGCCACUCCUCCCCUCUCCUCCAUCUCUGUCCAGAGGUAUCUAUAUGUACCUGUUUUUUUUCUUCUCGUUAUCUCUCAACACUGGGUUUCAGUAGCUAUCUAUUAUCACGCGCAGCAUUAGUCGGCAGUAGCUAGAUGGUGUUUUUCUCCUCUCUCUCCCCAGUAGUUCUCUGCAGCUAGCUGGUGCGCUGCAGGGCGAGAUGCUGUUGUGAAGCUGGGGGACUGAGGGAGAGAGAACCAAAGAACAUCUACUGUAGUUACCAAUCGUAGCACCGUACUCAGCUAUUUGAACCACGGCCAACAGCGCCGCUUUUCCACUCCACAAGGCCAGAACAACGGUCUUCAGGGGCUUGCGGUUUAUUUUCUUCCGUCAAAAGCGAGGCAAAGUGCUAUAUUAGACGUUCAUUUGACGUUUGUCUGUCGUAAGGCAAGCAAAAACAGUGAACUAAAUAGUCUGAAGUAGCCUGUCUGUGUUUCAUCUGAGCACUCUCUCCCAGUUUAUACUCAUAUCCUCCAUGCCUUCGCUUUCUCCUCUCUUUCUCCCAGCAGCCCUCCCUCUCAUCACUCCUCUAACUCCUGCCCUCUCAUCAGUCCUCCCUCGCCCUCCCUCCGGCCCCCUCUCAUCAUCUCUCACGUCUUUCCUUUACCUCCAUAUCUCUCCCCAUCCUUCCCUUUCUCCCUCAUGCCUUCUCUCCCUCCCAC